rnacentral:rRNA from 1 species
UAAAGGGCCGCAGUUAAAUUGUGCAAAGGUAGCAUAAUCAGUAGUUUUUUAAUUGAAAACUAGAAUGAAUGAUUGGACGAAAUAUAUUCUUUUUUAAUUUUAUUAAAUAUAAUUUUUUUUUUUAAUUAAAAAAUUAAGAUGUUGUAAAAAGACGAGAAGACCCUAUAGAGCUUUAUAUUAUAAUUUUUAUUUUUAUAAAAUUUAUAAUAUUAUAUUGGGGUGAUAAAAAAAUUUAGUUAACUUUUUGUAUCUAAAACAAAUAAUUUUUGAAAAUAUGUAUUUAUCUAUAUUUUAUAAAUUAAGAUUAAGUUACCUUAGGGAUAACAGCGUAAUUUUUAUUUUAAGUUCUUAUUGAAAUAAUUGAUUGCGACCUCGAUGUUGGAUUAAAAUUAAUUUUAAA